AACGAACGCUGGCGGCAUGCCUAACACAUGCCAGUCGAACGAGACCUUCGGGUCUAGUGGCGCACGGGUGCGUAACGCGUGGGAACCUGCCCUUAGGUUCGGAAUAACUCCCCGAAAGGGGUGCUAAUACCGGAUAAUGUCUUCGGACCAAAGAUUUAUCGCCUUUGGAUGGGCCCGCGUUGGAUUAGCUAGUUGGUAGGGUAAAAGCCUACCAAGGCGACGAUCCAUAGCUGGUCUGAGAGGAUGAUCAGCCACACUGGGACUGAGACACGGCCCAGACUCCUACGGGAGGCAGCAGUGGGGAAUAUUGGACAAUGGGCGAAAGCCUGAUCCAGCAAUGCCGGGGGGGUGAUGAAGGCCUUGGGGUUGUAAAGCUCUUUUACCCGGGAUGAUAAGGACGGUACCGGGAAAAAAAGCCCCGGCAAACUCCGG
rnacentral:rRNA from 1 species